rnacentral:rRNA from 1 species
AAAUUGAAGAGUUUGAUCAUGGCUCAGAUUGAACGCUGGCGGCAGGCCUAACACAUGCAAGUCGAGCGGCAGCGGGAAGUAGCUUGCUACUUUGCCGGCGAGCGGCGGACGGGUGAGUAAUGUCUGGGAAACUGCCUGAUGGAGGGGGAUAACUACUGGAAACGGUAGCUAAUACCGCAUAA